rnacentral:rRNA from 1 species
GUUCGCCGCGGGGGACAAAAGCUUCGGGAAUGUGGCUCCCUCGGGAGUGUUAUAGCCCGCUGCGCAAUACCCUGCGGCGGACUGAGGUUCGCGCUCCGCAAGGAUGCUGGCGUAAUGGUCACCAGUGA